AUUUGCAUAGUUUAAAAAAAACAUUACAUUUUCAUUGUAAAAUUAAAAAAUCUUUUGCAAAUA
rnacentral:tRNA from 1 species